rnacentral:rRNA from 1 species
CAAUACCAUGCAAGUCGAACGGCAGCACGGGUGCUUGCACCUGGUGGCGAGUGGCGAACGGGUGAGUAAUAUAUCGGAACGUACCUUGUAGUGGGGGAUAGCUCGGCGAAAGCCGGAUUAAUACCGCAUACGCUCUGAGGAGGAAAGCGGGGGACCUUCGGGCCUCGCGCUACAAGAGCGGCCGAUAUCAGAUUAGCUAGUUGGUGGGGUAAAAGCUUACCAAGGCGACGAUCUGUAGCUGGUCUGAGAGGACGACCAGCCACACUGGGACUGAGACACGGCCCAGACUCCUACGGGAGGCAGCAGUGGGGAAUUUUGGACAAUGGGCGAAAGCCUGAUCCAGCAAUGCCGCGUGUGUGAAGAAGGCCUUCGGGUUGUAAAGCACUUUUGUCCGGAAAGAAAUCCUCUGGGUUAAUACCUCGGGGGGAUGACGGUACCGGAAGAAUAAGCACCGGCUAACUACGUGCCAGCAGCCGCGGUAAUACGUAGGGUGCGAGCGUUAAUCGGAAUUACUGGGCGUAAAGCGUGCGCAGGCGGUUUUGUAAGACGGAUGUGAAAUCCCCGGGCUCAACCUGGGAACUGCAUUCGUGACUGCAAGGCUAGAGUAUGGCAGAGGGGGGGUAGAAUUCCACGUGUAGCAGUGAAAUGCGUAGAGAUGUGGAGGAAUACCGAUGGCGAAGGCAGCCCCCUGGGCCAAUACUGACGCUCAUGCACGAAAGCGUGGGGAGCAAACAGGAUUAGAUACCCUGGUAGUCCACGCCCUAGACGAUGUCAACUAGUUGUUGGGGAUUCAUUUCCUUAGUAACGUAGCUAACGCGUGAAGUUGACCGCCUGGCGAGUACGGUCGCAAGAUUAAGACUCACAGGAAUUGACGGGGACGCGCACAAGCGGUGGAUGAUGUGUAUUAAUUCGAUGCGGCGCGAAGAACCUUUCCUACCCUUGACAUGUACGGAAGUCUGCUGACAAGCAGAUGUGCUCGAAAGAGAACCGUAACACAGGUGCUGCAUGGCUGUCCUCAGCUCCUGUCCCGCAAAGGUGGGUUUAGUCCAGAAUCUAUCGCAACCAUGGUCUUUGUUUCUACGCAGGAGCCCCUUACGAAACGGCGGUGGUGAACCGAAGAAACUUGGGGAAGAGG